GAUGAACGCUGGCGGUCUGCUUAACACAUGCAAGUCGAACGAACUCUUCGGAGUGAGUGGCGGACGGGUGAGUAACGCGUGAGAACCUACCUAUCGGUACGGAAUAACAGAGGGAAACUUCUGCUAAUACCGUAUACGUCCUUUGGGAGAAAGUUUUUCGCCGAUAGAUGGGCCCGCGUUCGAUUAGAUAGUUGGUGGGGUAACGGCCUACCAAGUCAACGAUCGAUAGCUGGUUUGAGAGGAUGAUCAGCCACACUGGGACUGAGACACGGCCCAGACUCCUACGGGAGGCAGCAGUGAGGAAUAUUGGACAUGGGGGAAACCCUGAUCCAGCCAUGCCGCGUGCGCGAUGAAGGCCUUAGGGUGUAAAGCGCUUUCACCCGUGAAGAUG
rnacentral:rRNA from 1 species